UCCUUCAAUAAUUAUUUUUUGUGUGUGAUUGUUGCAACAAUCCUUGAUCAUGUGGCACGUUUUCUUAAAACGUGAUGGAAUAUGCGGGCUAUUUCUGCAAUUUUAUCCAAUGAAAUUGCAGGAACAUGCAAAAACUGCAGUUUGAUGAAAAAGAGACUAAACAGUGAUUUGAUGACA